UAAGGAAUAUUGGACAAUGGGCGCAAGCCUGAUCCAGCCAUCCCGCGUGCAGGAAGACGGCCCUACGGGUUGUAAACUGCUUUUGUACAGGAAGAAACCCCUGGAUUUAUCUGGGGCUGACGGUACUGUAAGAAUAAGCACCGGCUAACUCCGUGCCAGCAGCCGCGGUAAUACGGAGGGUGCAAGCGUUAUCCGGAAUCACUGGGUUUAAAGGGUGCGUAGGUGGAUACAUAAGUCAGAGGUGAAAGACUUGAGCUUAACUGAAGAAUUGCCUUUGAUACUGUGUAUCUUGAAUCAGGUUGAGGUUAGCGGAAUGUGACAUGUAGCGGUGAAAUGCAUAGAUAUGUCAUAGAACACCAAUUGCGAAGGCAGCUAGCUAGGCCUGUAUUGACACUGAGGCACGAAAGCAUGGGUAGCGAACAGGAUUAGAUACCCCCGUAGUCC
rnacentral:rRNA from 1 species